rnacentral:rRNA from 1 species
UUAAGCUAAUAAGAGCGCAGGGAGGAUGCCUUGGCAUCAGGAGCCGAUGAAGGACGCGGUAAGCUGCGAAAAGCUCCGGGGAGUGGCAAGCACACAUUGAUCCGGAGAUGUCCGAAUGGAGCAAUCCACAUGAGUGAAGCUCAUGUAUCAUAUACUGAAUAAAUAGGUAUAUGAGGGGAACCGUCUGAACUGAAACAUCUAAGUAGGACGAGGAAAAGAAAUCAACCGAGAUUCCGCUAGUAGUGGCGAGCGAACGCGGAAGAGGCUAAACCAGAGUCAGCAAUGACUUUGGGGUUUGGACUGCAUUUAGUAUCAAUGAGGUCUAGUCGAAGUACAUGGGAAGGUACAUCGAAGAGGGUGAGAAUCCCGUAGACGAAAGAUCAAGUUGGCGAGCAGUAUCCAGAGUACCGCCGGACACGUGAAACCCGGUGGGAAUGCGGGGGGACCAUCCUCCAAGCCUAAAUACUACCUGAUGACCGAUAGCGCAUAGUACUGUGAAGGAAAGGUGAAAAGAACCCCGGGAGGGGAGUGAAAGAGAGCCUGAAACCCUGUGCUUACAAGCACACAGAGCACGUCAAAGUGUGAUGUGGUACCUAUUGUAGAAUGGUCCGGCGAGUUAUUUUAUGCAGCGAGGUUAAGGACUUAAGGUCUGUAGCCGAAGUGAAAGCGAGUGUUAAUAGCACGGUUUAGUUGCAUGCAAUAGACCCGAAACCGGGUGACCUAUCCAUGUCCAGGCUGAAGUGAGGGUAAAACCUCAUGGAGGGCCGAACCGACUCCCGUUGAAAUGGUAGCGGAUGAGGUGUGGAUAGCGGAGAAAUUCCAAUCGAACCCGGAUAUAGCUGGUUCUCCCCGAAACCGUUUUAGGACGGGCCUCGUGUGAAGAUUAUCGGAGGUAAAGCACUGAAUAGCCUAGGGGGCGAGAGCCUACCGAAGCUUAUCAAACUCUGAAUGCCGAAUAAUCGUUUCACGGGAGUCAGACUGUGUGAGAUAAGUUUCAUAGUCAAAAGGGAAACAGCCCAGACCCACAGCUAAGGUCCCAAAGUGUAUUUAAGUGGAAAACGAUGUGAAGUUGCGUAGACAACCAGGAUGUUGGCUUAGAAGCAGCCACUCAUUAAAAGAGUGCGUAAUAGCUCACUGGUCGAGUGACUUUGCGCGGAAAAUUUAACGGGGCUAAAAUACACACCGAAGCUUGGGCUUGACGCUUUGCGUCAGGGGUAGGGGAGCGUCGUGUAAGGGGCGAAGUCGUAUCGUAAGGGACGGUGGACUUUACACGAGUGAGAAUGCCGGAAUGAGUAGCGAGAAUUAUGUGAGAAUCAUAAUGGUCGAAAGCCUAAGGUUUUUGGAGGAAGGUUCGUCCGCUCCAAGUAAGCCGGGAGCUAAGGUCAGGCGGAAACGCGUAGCCGAUGCACAUACGGUUGAAAUUCCGUAGCCUCAGAAAGAUUUAAGCGAAGGGACACUUUGAAAGGACUGUAGCCGGGUGUUGGUUACCCCGGUCGUAAGGGAACGAAAUUAAGUAGUGAAGGCAGUCUGGACGGAGGCGAGAAAAGCUCUGUGUAUAUCUGAUGAGCCCGUACCGCAAACCGACACAGGUAGGUGGGAUGAGAAUUCUAAGACCAACGGGAGAAGGGUAGUUAAGGAACUCGGCAAAUUGUCCCCGUAACUUCGGAAUAAGGGGAGCCUGCGAAAGCAGGCCGCAGAGAAUUGGCCCAGGCGACUGUUUAUCAAAAACACAGCUCUAUGCUAAAUCGAAAGAUGACGUAUAUGGGGUGACACCUGCCCGGUGCUGGAAGGUUAAGAGGAGAUGUGAGAGCAUCGAAUUGAAGCCCCAGUAAACGGCGGCCGUAACUAUAACGGUCCUAAGGUAGCGAAAUUCCUUGUCAGGUAAGUUCUGACCCGC